GUGCGGAAGGAUCAUUU
rnacentral:rRNA from 1 species